rnacentral:rRNA from 1 species
GAAGCAACGCGAAGAACCUUUACCAAAUCUUGACAUCCUUUGACCACUCUAGAGAUAGAGCUUUCCCCUUCGGGGGACAAAGGACAGGUGGUGCAUGGUUGUCGUCAGCUCGUGUCGUGAGAUGUUGGGUUAAGUCCCGCAACGAGCGCAACCCUUAAGCUUAGUUGCCAUCAUUAAGUUGGGCACUCUAGGUUGACUGCCGGUGACAAACCGGAGGAAGGUGGGGAUGACGUCAAAUCAUCAUGCCCCUUAUGAUUUGGGCUACACACGUGCUACAAUGGACAAUACAAAGGGCAGCUAAACCGCGAGGUCAUGCAAAUCCCAUAAAGUUGUUCUCAGUUCGGAUUGUAGUCUGCAACUCGACUACAUGAAGCUGGAAUCGNUAGUAAUCGUAGAUCAGCAUGCUACGGUGAAUACGUUCCCGGGUCUUGUACACACCGCCCGUCACACCACGAGAGUUUGUAACACCCGAAGCCGGU